UACAGAGGGUGCGAGCGUUAAUCGGAAUUACUGGGCGUAAAGCGCACGUAGGCGGCAUUGCAAGUCGGGUGUGAAAUCCCCGGGCUCAACCUGGGAACUGCAUCCGAGACUGCCUUGCUCGAGUAUGGGAGAGGGAAGUGGAAUUUCCGGUGUAGCGGUGAAAUGCGUAGAUAUCGGAAGGAACAUCAGUGGCGAAGGCGACUUCCUGGACCAAUACUGACGCUCAGGUGCGAAAGCGUGGGGAGCAAACAGG
rnacentral:rRNA from 1 species